CACACGAAUAAGACAAACUAGCUGAAACUAGGUGAGAAUGAAACUGGUUAGUUGGAAUGGAGGCAGCCUGCAUCCCAAUUAAGAGAGAAACAGAAAUAUAAAUACUGUAGGCAAAAUUCACUGUUAACAUUUUCGAGAUGAAGCUGAAACAGUAUGCCAAACAAGUGGUUAAAGUCUUGGAGGGAAGACUCCAAAGGCAACAACAAGAGAGAAUAGAAAGUGGAAGAGCUAAGGAAAGCAUGCCUUUAGUGGGUGUCACCUUCUUCAGAUUUCUUGACUGUAAUCUCCAUUCUGAUUAAUAACUGAACCAAGGAAUCGGACAAUCCAACCCACAAGAAACUCUUCUUACAGAACCUGGGAAGUAUUGCAACCUUGCCAGAAACAAGACAAUCCUGUGGAAAAUAAUGAAGUCUGAUAGUAACUGUAAGCUUUGUAUUAAUUGAUGGU